AAAUUUGAAAGCUGGCCUUCGGGUCCGCAUUGUAAUUUGUAGAGGAUGCUUUGGGUGAAACGCCAGUCUAAGUUCCUUGGAACAGGACGUCAUAGAGGGUGAGAAUCCCGUAUGUGACUGGAAAUGUUAACCUAUGUAAAGCUCCUUCGACGAGUCGAGUUGUUUGGGAAUGCAGCUCUAAAUGGGAGGUAAAUUUCUUCUAAAGCUAAAUAUUGGCGAGAGACCGAUAGCGCACAAGUAGAGUGAUCGAAAGAUGAAAAGCACUUUGGAAAGAGAGUUAAAAAGCACGUGAAAUUGUUGAAAGGGAAGCGCUUGCAAUCAGACUUGUUUAAACUGUUCGGCCGGUCUUCUGACCGGUUUACUCAGUUUGGACAGGCCAGCAUCAGUUUCGGCGGCCGGAUAAAGGCUCUGGGAAUGUGGCCUUCACUUCGGUGAAGGUGUUAUAGCCCAGGGUGUAAUACGGCCAGCCGGGACUGAGGUCCGCGCUUCGGCU
rnacentral:rRNA from 1 species